CCUGGACGUCUCGGCGGA
rnacentral:miRNA from 1 species